AACGAACGCUGGCGGCAGGCCUAACACAUGCAAGUCGAGCGAGGACUUCGGUUCUAGCGGCGGACGGGUGGGUAACGCGUGGGAAUGUGCCCUUCUCUACGGAAUAUCCCUGGGAAACUGGGAGUAAUACCGUAUACGCCCUAUUGUGGAAAGAUUUAUCGGAGAAGGAUCAGCCCGCGUUGGAUUAGGUAGUUGGUGGGGUAAUGGCCUAUCAAGAGGACGAUGCAUAGCUGGUUUGAGAGGAUGAUAAGCCACACUGGGACUGAGACACGGCCCAGACUCCUACGGAAUGCAGCAGUGCCUAAUCUUAGACAACGGGGUCAACCCUGAUCGAGCCAUGCCUCGUGAGUAAUGAAGGCCUUAGGGUUGUAAAGCUCUUUAAGCUGUGAAUAUAAUGACGGUACCAGCAGAAGAAGCCCCGGCUAACUCCGUG
rnacentral:rRNA from 1 species